GUAUCAGUAUUUUUGGGAGCUGGAAAUCUACAAUUUUUGUUAAGGAUCUGUUCGUACCAAGCAUGCGGUUUGGAUAUUUGUUCCGUGCUUCCUAAUGGACACUUGAAAUUGCUUCAUUCAAAGAAUCUACAAGGCGGAGGACGUGACGUCACUCGCAGAGCGCCGGAGAGAAGGAGCGCUGCGCUGGAUGGAGGAUGAGAAUGCGCUGACAUAGUGAGGAGACGUCUGGGCGUCACAUUCUACAGACAGAAGUUUUAGCUGGACCAGGCGGAGACUGUUUACAAACCCAAAAAAAACUGCUCCAUCAAAUGGAAGACUGAGAAAAGACGCAGGGUAAUGAAUAGAGCAUGUUUUCAGUCAAGAAGACAUAAAUGCUAUCUUGUUCUUGAGGAUUAGGUAAGGAAUCAAUAACUAUGGCAACUAUUUUCA